AAUCAAUCGUGAGAUGUUGUGUAAGCAUCAAUAGCAAGAAAGAGGGGUAAAUAAGGCGCUCCGGGUAUGAUCACGUGAUCAACCACGUGACUUACGAACCAGAAUGUAUUUUGUUUCAUCAUCGUUUCGAAAUAAGCAUAACUCGCAUAGCAUACGUCAAGAGUUGAGUCUUGUUGUGUAUAGUCUUAGUUGUCAUUAGAGUACUUGCAAUUUCUUCCUUUUUCGUUUCUUUCUUUUUUUAUAAAUGUACGUUCUGGGGCCUGACGUUAUAUAGUACAUUGCUGAAAAGAUUAAUCAUUGCAUUUGUAAGGAUCGAUGAUGUUGCGUUUUUGUCAGUAUUAAACAAUUUGAUUUCAUCUGUGUCAUAAUACUGGCAUAAC
rnacentral:lncRNA from 1 species